CAUUUUCACCCUCAAAUUUAUUUGCUUUUCUAGUUUUGAAUCCAUAAGUGUUGCCCAUCUUAGAUUAAUUAUGUAAAUUAAUCUGAUUGAUUAAUCAUGGGUUCUUUUUAGGUUCUUGCUGAUUUUCAGUAUUUAAAGAGGAAAGAUGAACAACCUCUUCUUUUUGAAGCACCAUUUAUGACCUCAAGUCUACAAAGUGACUGACUAUCGUGGCCAGCAGAACGUAAACAAGGUUGAUCACUUCCGUCGUCCACUCUGCGGAUGAUGCUUCUACAGAGGCGAAUUAGUAAAUUAAGUCGUAAUCAAGCCUGAAUCAGGCUUAGUACGAUAUGAGAUUUGCAAACUGAUGUAGAGUUCAUCCAGAGAUAGCGUGGUACAUUGUAAGUUUUCCUUUCUUAAACUUAAUUUUCAUUCUGUAAUUUUUUACUGGAAAAUUGCUUAAACAAACACAUCUAGGAUAUAAUGAUUAAUGUUAACAUACUUUAAUGGUUGGGAAGAUAAAGUUCUUAAGAAUGAAUCAUGAAUGGUUAAACAAACCACUGCGAUAGAAUUUAAAAGAAAAAACAAAGCGAUGCAAGAAAGUUUCUGGAUUUUAUUAGCUAGUUUCCAUCAGUUUUGUCAUUAAAAUCCAUUUAUUCUAGCUACAAUAGAGCCAAUAAAAUUUCCAGUACCUAAACCACCAUUUCUCUUUCCUUAAAAGCAUAAUAAAGAAAGGAGACCAAAAUCCAAGUAUAAACCCCAAAGAAACAACACCAUAAAGCACCAAUUUCUCUUUUGCAUCACCUUGAUCAUCAUCUUCUAGGUAAUUACUCCCACACCAGCAAGUGUUUUCUGUUGGUGGAGAAUCACACAAUAAAUCAUUCCCUUGAUAAGCUGAACCAUCAUAAUUCAAUGUAUCAAAAUGAGGUUCACUUAGGAUCCUGCCACACAAUUUAUUGUAAGAUAAGUUCAAAUACCCAAGAGUGUAGAUUAAUGCCAGAGACUUGGGGAUGUUUCCAGACAAUUUGUUUGAACUGAGAUCCAGUGAUUCUAAAAUGUCCAUGUUUCGAACACUUUGAGGGAUCACACCGGAUAAGUGAUUGUUCGAUAGAUUAAGGAAAUAAAGCCCUUACAUUUAACUCUUUACAUUUAACUCUUUUGUGAUUAUUGUUGUUUUUUUUUACAAGAGUUUAUGUUUAACAAAUUCAUAUUGUUUGAUUGUGUAUUACAUGCAUUGUUUAGUUUUAAAUUCCAAAAGUUGUGUUGAUUCUUUUAAUCUUUCCAUUUCUAGGAAAGGAAUUGUAAUGCUUUGUUUGUGUUUAUGAAUGUUUGAGAAAUAAGAACUCUCAUCUAUGGUAUAUAGGAUACUGCUCCUUCAUUUAAUUUAUACCUACUUACUUUCAGCUUUUAUGCUUAUGAGGUGUGGAAUUUGGCACGCAAUAUUACUAUUAGGUGUGGAAUUUGGCACUCACAGAGAUGUCAGGUCAGCUAACGUACUUCUAGACAAUGAUUACAAAGCGAAAGUAGCAGAUUUUGGUGGUUCGAGGUUCAACCCUACAGAUGAGGCUCAGUUAAGCACAGUAGUUAAAGAUCCGAAGAGGAUAGAAAUCUGGCAAGUUAUUUCCUUUCUUCAGUGAAAACCAACAGAUUGUUUGUGAUUAUUGACGAUAGAUUGGUACUAAAUGAUAAUGAAAGAGUCAGUAGUGUGCAUGGGCACCAACAGAUCCAAGAAAUGGCUGAACUAGCACAAAAGUGCUUACGGAUGAAGGGAGAAAAUAGACCUUCAAUGAAAGAAGUUGCAAUAGUGCUGCACGGAUUGACAAGGGUGUCGUCUAAACACCCUUGGGUCUUGGAUGAUGAUGAGGAUAUACCGAAUACAACAAGCACAGAAGAAUGCAUGCUCUUGUUAGAUGCAGCUGAAUUAUUAUCUUACACAGACAGCAUACAAACAAUGGGUGAUACCAGUAAAGGAAUAUCAUCCCUGCAAACUGAGGGCCGUUAAUAUAUAUGAAAUGUAAUUUACUAUUGAACUACUUCAGCUAAUUUACUAAC